AACAAUGUGCUAUUGUUUUUUGUAGGUUGUGAGU
rnacentral:sRNA from 1 species